UACGUAGGGGGCUAGCGUUGUCCGGAAUCAUUGGGCGUAAAGCGCGCGUAGGCGGCCCGGUAAGUCCGCUGUAAAAGUCCAGGGCUCAACCCUGGAACGCCGGUGGAUACUGUCGGGCUAGAGUCCGGAAGAGGCGAGUGGAAUUCCUGGUGUAGCGGUGGAAUGCGCAGAUAUCAGGAGGAACACCAAUAGCGAAGGCAGCUCGCUGGGACGUUACUGACACUGAGGCGCGAAAGCGUGGGGAGCGAACAGG
rnacentral:rRNA from 1 species